rnacentral:rRNA from 1 species
GACGAACGCUGGCGGCGUGCCUAAUACAUGCAAGUCGAACGCAGUUUCGAACGGGUGAGUAACGCGUAGGUAACUGCCUCAUAGCGGGGGAUAACUAUUGGAAACGAUAGCUACUACCGCAUACUGUGAGAUGGACAUUCGUUGUAUUAGCUAGUUGGUGAGGUAAAGGCUCAACAAGGCGACGUUACAUAGCCUGACUGUGAGGGUGAGCGGCUACAGUGGGACUGAGACACGGCCCAGACGCAUACGGGGGGCAGCAGUAGGGAAUCUUGGGCAAUGGACGGAGGUCCGACCGAGCAACGCCGCGUGAGUGAAGAAGGUUUUCGGAUCGUAAAGCUCUGUUGUUAGAGAAGCGGUAACUAAACAGAAAGGGACGGCUAACUACGUGCCAGCAGCCGCGGUAAUAC